rnacentral:rRNA from 1 species
UACGGAAGGCAGCAGUGGGGAAUAUUGCACAAUGGGCGAAAGCCUGAUGCAGCUAUGCCGCGUGUAUGAAGAAGGCCUUAGGGUUGUAAAGUACUUUCAUCGGGGAGGAAAAACAAAACUAAUAAUUUUAUUUCUUGACGUUACCCGAAAAAGAAGCACCGGCUAACUCCGUGCCAGCAGCCGCGGUAAUACGGAGGGUGCUAGCGUUAAUCAGAAUUACUGGGCGUAAAGAGCACGUAGGUGGUUUUUUAAGUCAGAUGUGAAAUCCCUGGGCUUAACCUAGGAACUGCAUUUUGAAACUGAAAUACUAGAGUAUCGUAGAGGGAGGUAGAAUUCUAGGUGUAGCGGUGAAAUGCGUAGAUAUCUGGAGGAAUACCUGUGGCGAAAGCGGCCUCCUAAACGAAUACUGACACUGAGGUGCGAAAGCGUUGGGGAGCAAACAGGGAUUAGAUACC